GGGGGACAGCAGCUCUCCUGACGCCUGGCCUUCGUGGCAGAUCCUGCAAAACUGCUCCUCACUGCACAGAGCGACACACGAACAGAGACGACAGGAAGUCUGCAAAGGCAGUUUUCUACUGUGACAUUCAGAAGACAGUCUAUAUGUCAUCUCACUGUGAUGUUAUUGGAUCUGAGUGGAAACUGCACCAUGCAGGAUUCAGGGGUGAAGCAUUUGUUUGACUGAAGACUGGAGACUCUGAGUGUACUCCUCUCCUAUUGGCUGCGUGUAGCUGGAUGAUUCACAAACGCGUACCCUGAACCCUGACGUCCACCGUCAUCAGAUCUCAGUCCAGCGGAGCGCCUUUGGGAAGUGGUGAAAUGCAUCACCAGCAUAUCUGCAAGGUGCAUCCAAGUGGCAACAUAAAGGGCCUAAAAUUAUAGUUUAGAAACUGCAGUUCCUCUAACGUCCAGCAGAGGCAGCAGUGAGUCAGGCCCCAUAGACUCCCAUGUUAGAACUUUACAGCAGAAACAAACAUGUUUACAGCCUGAUACACAAACUGUUUGGUCUCUGUGGAUCAUUUCCUCCCUCAUAACACCUGUACAGGUGAGGAUGUUUCUAUAACUCACCUGUUUAAAUGGUUUUAAGCCUUAAAGUUUGCAUUAUUAGGGGCGUGGCCUCUUUGACUGACAGGUGGCUGUAGCUACUAGCUGUCUGCUAGCUUCACCUGGACCUUUGUGCUGUUCGAGCCUUUUGGAGCCUUUUAACGACGUCAUGUGACCAAUAAUAUGACUGCUGUGAGGUCACUGUGCUAACAGACCGUCUGGCUCCAGUUCUGGUAAAAUUCGAGGAUUGUGAUUGGACUAAGCACUAAUUGGCAGGUACCCAUGUCUGUGCGAUGCUCCCAUAAAACCAAUUUAAACUGGGUUGGUGGUUCGGGCUGUAAUUUCGUGUCCAGGAAAGGCUUCGUCACUCUGGGUGAUUUCAAACGUUGAUAAAUCUAAACCUGAACCUGAACCUGAACAGUAGGCGAGCGUACGUUACAGAGGUGAUGAACUUUAAGCCUCUUUGCUUCCUGCUCCGUUUACCUGUCUGUGAUGGCUGCACACUCCACAGUGGGCGUGUCUGCGUGAUAGCACAUCACUUCCUGGCUGCUGCUGUGGAGCUCUUCAUCCAGCGCAGGCUCAGGGAUUAACUUGACCUCCUCCACAGGACUGGACC